rnacentral:tRNA from 1 species
GAGGUGUUAGGUUAAUCAAACUUAUAGUUUGUCAUACUAUAAAUCCUAAAAUUUUAGGGCAGC